rnacentral:tRNA from 1 species
GCGUGGGUGGCGAAAUUGGUAGACGCACUACUUUGAGGUGGUAGCGCCCGAAAGGGUGUGAGAGUUCGAAUCUCUUCCCGCGCA